AAUAUUGCACAAUGGGGGAAACCCUGAUUCAGCGACGCCGCGUGAGUGAAGAAGUAUUUAGGUAUGUAAAGCUCUAUCAGCAGGGAAGAAAAUGACGGUACCUGACUAAGAAGCUCCGGCUAACUACAAGCCAGCAUACGCGGUAAUACGUAGGGGGCAAGCGUUAUCCGGAUUUACGGGGUGUAAAGGGAGCGUAAGUGGUUGGGUAAGUCAGGUGUGAAAGCCCGGGGCUAAACCCCGAGAUUGCACUUGAAACUAUCGAACUUGAGUGCAGGAGAGGUAAGUGGAAUUCCUAGUGUAGCGGUGAAAUGCGUAGAUAUUAGGAGAAACACCAGUGGCGAAGGCGGCUUACUGGACUGUAACUGACACUGAGGCUCGAAAGCGUGGGGAGCAAACA
rnacentral:rRNA from 1 species